rnacentral:rRNA from 1 species
CUUUAUUGGAGAGUUUGAUCCUGGCUCAGGAUGAACGCUGGCGGCGUGCCUAAUACAUGCAAGUCGAGCGAAUGGAUUGAGAGCUUGCUCUCAAGAAGUUAGCGGCGGACGGGUGAGUAACACGUGGGUAACCUGCCCAUAAGACUGGGAUAACUCCGGGAAACCGGGGCUAAUACCGGAUAACAUUUUGAACUGCAUGGUUCGAAAUUGAAAGGCGGCUUCGGCUGUCACUU